AUGAACGCUAGCGGCAGGCCUAAUACAUGCAAGUCGGACGGGAUAGGAGAGCUUGCUUUCCUUGAGAGUGGCGCACGGGUGCGUAACACGUAUGUAACCUACCUUGUUCAGGGGGAUAGCCUCUCGAAAGAGAGAUUAAGACCGCAUAACAUUAAGUUGUGGCAUCGCAAUUUAAUCAAAUAUUUAUAGGAACAAGAUGGGCAUGCGGAACAUUAGCUAGUUGGUAAGGUAACGGCUUACCAAGGCCACGAUGUUUAGGGGAUCUGAGAGGAUUACCCCCCACACUGGUACUGAGACACGGACCAGACUCCUACGGGAGGCAGCAGUAAGGAAUAUUGGUCAAUGGACGGAAGUCUGAACCAGCCAUGCCGCGUGCAGGAAGACGGCCCUAUGGGUUGUAAACUGCUUUUGUACGGGAAUAAACCUCUCUUCGUGAAGAGAGCUGAAUGUACUGUAAGAAUAAGGAUCGGCUAACUCCGUGCCAGCAGCCGCGGUAAUACGGAGGAUCCAAGCGUUAUCCGGAUUUAUUGGGUUUAAAGGGUGCGUAGGUGGCUUUUUAAGUCAGGGGUGAAAGACGGCAGCUUAACUGUCGCAGUGCCUUUGAUACUGAAGAGCUUGAAUGAACUAGAGGUAGGCGGAAUGUGACAAGUAGCGGUGAAAUGCAUAGAUAUGUCACAGAACACCAAUUGCGAAGGCAGCUUACUAUGGUUUGAUUGACACUGAGGCACGAAAGCGUGGGGAUCAAACAGGAUUAGAUACCCUGGUAGUCCACGCCCUAAACGAUGAAUACUCGAUGUUGGCGAUAUACGGUCAGCGUCUAAGCGAAAGCGUUAAGUAUUCCACCUGGGGAGUACGCCCGCAAGGGUGAAACUCAAAGGAAUUGACGGGGGCCCGCACAAGCGGAGGAGCAUGUGGUUUAAUUCGAUGAUACGCGAGGAACCUUACCCGGGCUUGAAAGUUAGUGAAUGUGACAGAGACGUCACAGUCCUUCGGGACACGAAACUAGGUGCUGCAUGGCUGUCGUCAGCUCGUGCCGUGAGGUGUUGGGUUAAGUCCCGCAACGAGCGCAACCCCUAUGUUUAGUUGCCAGCAUGUAAUGAUGGGGACUCUAAACAGACUGCCUAUGCAAAUAGAGAGGAAGGAGGGGACGACGUCAAGUCAUCAUGGCCCUUACGUCCGGGGCUACACACGUGCUACAAUGGGCAGUACAGAGGGCAGCUACCUGGUAACAGGAUGCCAAUCUCCAAAAGCUGUUCACAGUUCGGAUCGGGGUCUGCAACUCGACCCCGUGAAGUUGGAUUCGCUAGUAAUCGCGUAUCAGCAAUGACGCGGUGAAUACGUUCCCGGGCCUUGUACACACCGCCCGUCAAGCCAUGGAAGCUGGAAGUGCCUGAAGUGCGUAACCGCAAGGAGCGUCCUAGGGUAAAGUCGGUAACUGGGGCU
rnacentral:rRNA from 1 species